AUACGUAGGGGGCAAGCGUUAUCCGGAAUUACUGGGCGUAAAGGGUGCGUAGGUGGCCCGACAAGUCAGGGGUCAAAGGCAACGGCUCAACCGUUGUAAGCCCUUGAAACUGUCGGGCUUGAGUUCAGGAGAGGAAAGCGGAAUUCCUAGUGUAGCGGUGAAAUGCGUAGAUAUUAGGAGGAACACCAGUGGCGAAGGCGGCUUUCUGGACUGAUACUGACACUGAGGCACGAAAGCGUGGGGAGCAAACAGGAUUAGAUACCCUGGUAGUCCACGCCGUAAACGAUGAGUACUAGGUGUCGGCCCUAAGGGUCGGUGCCGCAGUUAACACAUUAAGUACUCCGCCUGGGAAGUACGCUCGCAAGAGUGAAACUCAAAUGAAUUGACGGGG
rnacentral:rRNA from 1 species